CUACCCCGCCGUCGGCCCGUCGGCUCCGUCUUUCCACCAUUACAAUAUAUUUUUAUACGGGCUAUCAACCUUAACGCGUGUGAUUAAUACAAAUAAAUUAUCGCAUUAUCAAAUAUGAUUAUGAAUGAAGGUUAAUUCUUAACCCGUAAGUAGCGCGCAUUGUCACAUAGUCUGUGAUGAGGAUGAGAAGCGGACAGUUUCGCUUCAGAACAGAAUUGUGACGUUUGGCUGGCAUCGUGGUGCGUGUUUGCGUUCUUGUGGUGCAGCGGCGAUGGAACACAGCAUUAAGGUAGGAAUGAUGAUUUAUGCCUAACUACAAAAACAAACUAAUAACAGAAAUACUGGCACAUAAGCACUAAAGACAAAACAAACAGAACUAGCGUGGAAGCUAGAAUGAACAGAAAGCGCUAGUAUGUAAACUAGGGACAAGUAAACAAACAAAAUAGCAUGGAAGCUAAUAGGGUGAAAAAAGAUAGUUACCACAAUGCGGGAAGAGCGAUGUCACUUGUUGCGUGUAGCAAACUAUAGUCCGAGACCGAAUGUAAAACAAGGGCGGUCUUAAAUAAGGAGAUAACUAAUCAAGUCAGGUGCGUGACGACAAACCAGAAUCAGGUGACAUUGAAUGAGUUACCCUGACAACAGAAAACCAAACAGGAAGGGCCACCGGGAACCAAAGACGUCGAAUGCAACACAGGAUGAUAAUAAAACAGAAACGAAAUCAAAAUAUGACAUGGUCCAAGAUGUGGACCAUGACAAGAACUUUAGUUAAAACUGAGGUAACUUGUUGGUAUUGCAGCAACAAAAGUUUGUGUCAUCGCCGCACAGAAGUUUAAAAUUCCACCUAAAAGCAAAACAUGUACUUGAUGGUGCCGACAGCAUGCAUGAACAAGCAAAGGAAAACGCUACACUGCCGGUUUACCUGCGUCAAUGUUGUCAGCAAGAGUACAAGUACCACAAUUAAAAAUUUGUGAAGACCACAUCCAGCAAGAAGAUGGUAUUCAGACCACCACAACUGAUCCGAGGCACAUUUACAGCAAUGUUAAACCAACUCUAGUACACAAACAAGAGCAUCAAUUUGCAAGUAUUGGCUGAAUGUGAAUGUGUUUUGCUUCUUGAAGAUCAUCGGACACCUGGAAGUAAUCACAACGAGCUGAGAUCGCAUUAUACCAAAAAAGGAAAUCAGCAUUGUCAUCUGAAAAGGGUAAGGAACUUUAUUCGGUUACUUUGAAGCAGAAGAACCAACAAUAUUCACAAUUUAUCCAUUCGUUUUCCAUGUUGUGUGUUGUCCAGUGUUGACGUGUGAGCCUGCAGUGAAUAAAUGCAGCAGAGGUAGCGAGACAACAGAAUUGGAUCAUACUGUAGCUCAGACUGUCCUGGCUGUGGAAGCGUCACCAAAGCAGUCGUGAGCAGUGGGGUGCAUCCAGCCAGACGCCGCAGGAGCAACAGGGCAGACAGUCAGUGGGGGCAAGUUGCGGUGGUGUUAUCAUCAAUGUCUCCAUCGGAGAAACAAAAAACUUAAAACAGAUGAAAGCUGACAGUUGGUGGCAGCAGCUUGCCUGGCCAUGCAUUGUGUGCAGGUGUGCAGGCAGGAGUGGAGUAUUAAUAUGUAUGAUAAGAAGAUGGGAUCGGGAGGAAAGGCCAAAUGAAAGGAGAGGAGGAAGCCGAGGGGUCAGUGAUUCAGUGUGCACCAGGCACAGCAAAGUAUGAGAUUUAUCAUGCAUUGCCAGGCCCCAGUUUGUGUAGUGGAAAGGAAGUAAGUAGAGCGAUGGAGGCUGAGGGGGGAACGAGCCAACUAGUUCAUCACGGUAGCCUAGUUAGGUGAAAGGCGCAAUAGCGAAAAGGUAGGCUCAUUAUCUCCCUUCUGACCAACCUCCACAUUUUUCUACUUUUCUUCUCUUGUUCCAUGUUUAAUCAACCUGAGUUAGCAAUCCUUUGCUGCAUGUUUCUUUGUUUUCUAAUGCAAAGUCCUCGUCACCAGAAUAAACAAAUAUUUUUCGGACCAUAGGGCGCACUGCCGAUGAGCGGGUUUAUUCAGGUCUAUUUUCAUACAAAAGAGCACUUUAAAAGGGUCAUAUCAAUUUUAUGUUUUUCUAAAUUGAAAACACUUCCUUGUGGUCUACAUCAGUGAUUCUCAACCUUUUUUCAGUUUUGU